AUGAACCACGAGCUUGCUGAGCUAUACGGCGAACCGAGCAUCCUGACGGUGGCGAAGGCUGGCAGGAUACGAUGGCUGGUGCAUGUCAUGAGGAUCUCAUGCCCCACCAAGAAGGUGUUCGACAGCGAUCCCCAGUUCGGCAUAAGGCGCAAGGGAGCACAGCGAACUCGAUGGCUGGACCAGGUGAAGUAAGACCUGUUGGAGAUCGGGUGUCUGCAUGGAUGGGAGGCUGCAGCCAGGGACCGAUCAUCCUGGAGAAUGAUUGUUGCCCGGGCCAUACCACAUCGACGUGCUCUAUCGCGUGCAUGCCAACAAGAGAGAGAGGGGAGGAUCAUGCUCCGAAUGGACCGUGCCCCCAUACGUAGGACUGACUAUCAUGCUAUAGUAAUAAAUAAGUCACUAAAACCGAAACCCAUAAGUGGUACAGACAGGCCUUGGCCGACAACGGUUAUUGUGUGAAAGAAGAAGAAUACUAGACUUUAUUUAAAAUAGUGUCAGUUUAUUUUCAAUGAUCGAUGAAAUUCCACAAUUUAUUAAUAUUUAUGAAACAUAUUCCCCAUGCUUUGGUUUAAACCACAAUAGAACACCAUUGGCAGACUUUUCCGUUUUAAUUGCUUCUUAUGAUUUCUAGAUUUCAAAACGCCUGUUUUACAGUUUCUUUUUAUUCAGAAGGAAAGGCUAGAACGUAUUGCUUCACAUUGAAUAUUAGUGUAUACAAUUCUUUUCAAAACUAUAAGAACACCGAGUU